UGGUCUUUGCGGGACAUCUGUCUCCCACUAACAUUUUUCCUACUCCUUUGUCACUUGCGCUUCCAAUUUUACUCUUAAUUUUUCCUACUUAUCUUCUUCUUCCAUGCUCUCUUCUUUCUCUGAUUUUCCCCUAUUCUUCAUUUUGCUGUUUUCUUUUUUCGUUCUGGUCUUGGGAUUCAUGAAGUAAUUUCUUUUUACUUUAAUGAGAUUUUAGUGUUAAGAUUUGAAAUUGGGGUUUUAAGAAUACAAUUUGCCCAAACAACUAAAAGGCACACGGGAUUUUUUUGGUGUACAAGAGGAAACGGGUGAAGGUUGCAAAGAAGUUGCUUCAUACUGAUCUGUGGGCGGCUCAUAUUGAGAGUCUAUACGCAACUCCUCCUACCAACAGAACAUGACAGAAUUGUAUGGAAGGAAGACAAAAAUGACAACUGCUCUGUCAACUGCUGCUAUAGGCUUCUCACCUCACGAACCAUCUCCACAACCAACAAUGCAAACUUAAACGAAAAUGUAAGGCUCCUCUCGACAUCAUUUCAUUUUGUAUGGAUAACAUUGCACAAUGAUUGUUUGUUACGGGCGAACCUGCAGAGAAGAGGUUACCCCUUAUGCAAUAGAUGUCCAGUAACAUAGCAGACAUUAUCUUUUUUUGCACUGUCCAUUGCUAUCUCUGCUAUAUGCUGUAGCUUUUGAUCGAGAUCAAAUUUUAUAUCAGAUGAAUUUUCUUCAUAUUUUGCUAUUUCUGUAUCAAAGUGCUAUUUAUUGGUGAAGAUCUUUCUCCUAUAUAAGUAACAAACAACAAAAUCAUUUUUGUAUAUUUAGUCAUAUAGAUAAGACUUUUCAUAAAAUACCCAUCUUUGGCAGCUAUCUUUAUUCUUUAUCAUUUAAUUAAUAAGGUACUGCUCACCUGCAAUCUUCAUUUGCCUUUGAAGGAACAUGAAUAUGUGUGUUAUCAGAUAAACUUAAAAUAAUUGUGCUUUUACAUAUUACUGAUACAUAUUAGCUUUUAGCGUGCUCUAUUCUUUCAUUCCUUACUCUAGGACAAGGUAAUCCUAACAUGGCUAUGGUACUUGCUUACCAUACGGCAAAUAGUUAGAUUCGAUAUAAGUCGCAGCACAUGUUAGUCCAUUUCAUUCUUUCACUAUAUCAUAUUAUUAUAUUUUUUCCAUGCUAAUCUCUAAGAUCAUUCAAAGAUAAAUGGUGGUUGCAUAGUGUAGUCGGUUAUUUUAAUUGAAACAAUAUAUGCUCUUUACAAUUUAUGAUUGGACUGGUAUAGGGUUGUUUAAUGCAGUAUUCUGAAGUAAGCAUUAGUCAUGAGGAAAGUCCCAAAUAGCAAUGAAUGCUCCAUAAAAAGGUACAGACAACAGAAGGAUUUUUACACUAGAAGGAUUAGUCUAAAGAAAAUUUCCCCAUACAUUAGAUGAUUAAACUGAAAACCUCUUUAAGUAAAAGAGAGCAUAGAUAAUUGAUUUAAAGAAUGUAUCUUUCUAAAUUGCUAUGAGCCUUCUACAUGCUCACAUAACAAAUAUGUAGUUGCUUGGAUAACUCCAAGGAAGAGGUUGCCUUUCCAGUAAGUUAGGAAUUAGGGAGAAUUGGAGAAAGAUGGUAUAUGGUACUUGAUACCUUCAUGCUAACUAUACGAGAAUAGCAAUAAAUUUCUCCAGUUUUUGUUUAUGUUACAAGGGGAGGUCUAGAUCAGGACAGCUUCACUGGCGAGGAUUGAAUAGAUCAUUCCAAGGCAAGGACUGAAAGAAACUUUAGAUGUUACUUGUGACACAACAUACGUAUUCUCGCUCCCUUUCUUGGGUCUUCUAUUUAGUGCUUCACAUCUUUUAGUUGUUGCCCCCUAUCUUCUAACUCUUUCCAUCUUAAAGAAUUUGUAGUGGCAGGUAAUUUGAGAGUUCAAAAGAAACAUUAGUUGAGAUGGUCGAAGAUGGACUUGCUUCAAUCUCUCAGAAGCUAGCCGGGAAGGAAGAUGAGAAAGAAACAUAAGGCCAUCUGAAAUGUUGUCUGCAUACUCUGUCUACUCUGGACAACCUGGAAGGAACAACAACUAAUUGCUUCGACGAUGUUGCACCUAAAAUAUACACAUUAGAAUAGAAAUGCUGCAUCUGUUAGCUUUUAUAACUAACUUAUAAAUAUAUACAAUUCAGUAACACUUUUUUAGUCUUCACAUCAUUCAGGAACCAUAGGACCUUACUUUGUUUUACCACGUUUUGUAUCUCAAAAGAUGUAUCAGCACCUACUGGUAUUAAUAAAGCUUGAUUACUUAUAGAAAAAAUAUUUCGGAGUU